rnacentral:rRNA from 1 species
ACUCAAUAGAUACCCCGGUAGUCCCAGCUGUAAACGAUGCAGACUCGGUGAUGGGUUGGCUUCGAGCCAAACCCAGUGCCGCAGGGAAGCCGUUAAGUCUGCCGCCUGGGGAGUACGGUCGCAAAACUGAAACUUAAAGGAAUUGGCGGGGGAGCACCACAAGGGGUGAAGCCUGCGGUUCAAUUGGAGUCAACGCCGGAAAUCUUACCGGGAGCGACAGCAGAGUGAAGGUCAAGCUGAAGACUUUACCAGACAAGCUGAGAGGAGGUGCAUGGCCGUCGCCAGCUCGUGCCGUGAGGUGUCCUGUUAAGUCAGGUAACGAGCAAGAUCCCUGCCUCUAGUUGCUACCGCUGGUCUCCGGACUAGCAGGGCUAAUUAGAGGGACCGCCGCCGCUGAGGCGGAGGAAGGAGGGGGCUACGGCAGGUCAGUAUG